GCGCACGUAGUCUAGUUGGUAGGACAGCAGCCUGCCACGUUGCUAACCCGGGUUCGAAUCCCGGCGCGUGCACCA
rnacentral:tRNA from 1 species